rnacentral:rRNA from 1 species
UACGUAGGGUGCGAGCGUUGUCCGGAUUUAUUGGGCGUAAAGAGCUCGUAGGCGGUUUGUCGCGUCGGCCGUGAAAUCUCCACGCUUAACGUGGAGCGUGCGGUCGAUACGGGCAGACGUUGAGUUCGGUAGGGGAGACUGGAAUUCCUGGUGUAGCGGUGAAAUGCGCAGAGUAUCAGGAGGAACACCGGUGGCGAAGGCGGGUCUCUGGGCCG